rnacentral:rRNA from 1 species
GACGAACCGAGCGAGCGUUGUUCGGAAUCACUGGGCUUAAAGGGCGCGUAGGCGGGUGCUCAAGUCUGUGGUGAAAUCCUCCGGCUCAACCGGAGAACUGCCAUGGAUACUGGGCGUCUCGAGUGUGGUAGGGGUAUGCGGAACUAUCGGUGGAGCGGUGAAAUGCGUUGAUAUCGAUAGGAACUCCGGUGGCGAAGGCGGCAUACUGGACCACCACUGACGCUGAUGCGCGAAAGCCAGGGGAGCAAACGGG